UACGUAGGUGGCGAGCGUUAUCCGGAAUUACUGGGCGUAAAGCGCACGCAGGCGGUCUUUUAAGUUUGACGUGAAAGCUCUCGGCUUAACUGGGAGAGGUCGUUGAAGACUGGAAGGCUUGAGGCAAUGAGAGGGGUGUAGAAUUCCCGGUGUAGUGGUGGAAUGCGUAGAUAUCGGGGGGAAUACCAGUGGCGAAAGCGGCACCCUAGCGUUAGCCUGACGCUCAUGUGCGAAAGCGUGGGGAGCAAACAGG
rnacentral:rRNA from 1 species